CCCGGUUGCUUCUUGUUGGGAAAUAGAAACGGGGUAGAUUGCAUUUUGAAUUUCUCUCUCUCUUCAUCUGCCUCACUUUCUCUCUCUACUUCACUUCUUCUUCUUCUUCUCUUCUCCCAAGCAAAGCAACAGCUCGAGAUCGAUCUAGUACUGUGGCUGCUAGCUGCAUAUAUAAGUAAUGGUGCAUAUUUGAUCUCGCUUUCGCAACCGUUCGAUUGGUUUGAGGAUCAAUUGAUUUGGAGAUUUUUUUGAGUGUGUUCAAUUCAUCACUCAUCAGAGAGUGUGAAGUGCCUACUGCAUGAGCUAGCUGUGAGCCUGUCACAAGAUGCCGUUGUUUGAUCGGGAUCGGUACCAGCGGCUGGAUGGCAACGGCGGCGGCGGCGGCGGAGGACGCCGUUCUUCGCCGUCGUCCUGCUCGACGGCGACCAUCGUCCUGUUCGUGGCGCUCUGCCUCGUCGGCGCGUGGAUGAUGUCGUCGACGGGAAACGUCCCGAUGGCCGUGUCGCCGGAGGACAAGCCGCCGGCGGUGGUCAAGGAGGACGACGCGUCGUCCAUCGACGUCACCGACGGCGUCAAGGGUCGCGGCGGCGGCGGCGAUGGCGGCGACACGCCGCGAACUACGGACGAGGCAGCCGACGACGUUGGCAAGAAAGUCCAAGAUGCCGGCGACACGGCGAAGACGACGGACGACGUCGGGGACACCGGCGUGAAAGGCGGCGGCGUUGACACGCAAACGGCGACGGAUGCGGUCGCCAAGACCACCACCGGAGGCACGGGGGCGGGGGAGUCCGGCAAGCCCGCCGGCGACAAGGUAGGCGACGGCGAGACGACGACGACGUCGAAGAACCAGACAUUCUCCGACGAGAACGGCAAGACGGAGGGCGGCGAGGUGGUGAGCCCAGAAGAUCCCGACAAGCAGAGCGCCGACGAUGCGCCAACCGACGGCAAGGACACCGGCGACCAAGCCAGCGGCGAUGCCGACGAGGCGCCGUCGACGGACACGAAGGGGAAAAAGAACAGCACGGCGGAGGAGCCCAGGGACACCAAGGACGCCGGCGAGAACGCCGAUGAGGCUUCCACCGAGACUAAGGCUGACAAGAGCUCCGACGAUACGCCCACCGACGCGAAGGCGACCGGCGACGGCGGCACGCCGUCGAAGAACCAGACGUCAUUCGACGACGAGAACGGGAAGAUGGACGGCGUCGAGACGGUGGCAGAGGACGGCAAGGUCACGGAGAAGAGCUCCGAACAAGUUCCCACCAAUGGCGACGACGGCGGCGGCGGCGGCGAGGCGCAAACCACCGACGACGACACGGCCACCGGCGCGUCAUCGAACAACCAAACUAUCAGCGACAUGAACGACGACUCGAACACGACGACGACGACGACGACGACACUCGCAGCCGUGGACAGCAGCAAUGGCACAGUCUCCCAAACAACAGAGGACGACGCGCCGGCGAACAGCGCCGCCGCCGCCGCCGCCGCCACCGAAAAGAUCAAUCCGGCGGCGGAGCAGGAGCUCCUCCCGAGCGGCCAGGCUGAGCUGCUGAACGAGACGGCGUCGGCGGUGGCGCAGAACGGCUCGUUCCCGACGCAGGCGUCGGAGUCGAGCGCCGAGAAGAAGGCGCGCGACAGAAACAAGAACAAGAGCAACGGCAGCGACACGGCGGCGGCGGCGGCGGUGGCGGUGGCGCACGGGUGGAAGCUCUGCAACGUGAGCACCGGCGAGGACUACAUCCCGUGCCUGGACAACGAGGCGGCGAUCAAGAAGCUCAAGACGACCAAGCACUACGAGCACCGUGAGCGACACUGCCCCGCCGCGGCGCCGACGUGCCUCGUCCCGCUCCCCGGCGGCUACCGGCGGCCGAUCCCGUGGCCGUACAGCCGCGACAAGAUCUGGUACCACAACGUGCCGCACACCAAGCUGGCGUCGUACAAGGGGCACCAGAACUGGGUGAAGGUCUCCGGCGAGCACCUGACGUUCCCCGGCGGCGGGACGCAGUUCAUAAACGGCGCGGCGCACUACAUCGACCUGAUCGAGGAGGCGGUCCCGGCGGUGGCGUGGGGGCGGCGCAGCCGCGUCGUGCUCGACGUCGGCUGCGGCGUGGCCAGCUUCGGCGGCUUCCUGUUCGACCGCGACGCGCUCACCAUGUCGCUGGCGCCCAAGGACGAGCACGAGGCGCAGGUGCAGUUCGCGCUGGAGCGCGGCAUCCCCGGCCAUCUCCGCCGUCAUGGGCACCAAGCGCCUCCCCUUCCCCGGCGGCGCCUACGACGCCGUCCACUGCGCGCGCUGCCGCGUGCCAUGGCACAUCUGGGGCGGCAAGCUCCUCCUCGAGGUCAACCGCCUCCUCCGCCCCGGCGGCCUCUUCGUCUGGUCCGCCACGCCGGUCUACCGGAAGACGCCGGAGGACGUCCAGAUCUGGCACGACAUGGCGGCGCUCACCAAGUCCAUGUGCUGGAAGAUGGUGAAGAAGACGAACGACACCGUGGACGAGACGGCCAUGGUGAUCUUCAAGAAGCCGACGAGCAACGGCUGCUACAGCAACCGGGAGAAGCCGGAGCCGCCGCUCUGCGACGCCGACGACGACCCCAACGCCGCGUGGAACAUCACGCUGCGGGCGUGCAUGCACCGCCUGCCCACCAACAAGUCCGUCCGCGGCGCGCGGUGGCCGGAGCUGUGGCCGGAGCGGAUGUCGGCGGCGCCCUACUGGCUGUCGCACAGCCAGGUCGGCGUCUACGGCAAGCCGGCGCCAGACGACUUCGCGGCGGACGAGGAGCACUGGAACCACGUCGUCAACAGCUCGUACCUCGCCGGCGUCGGCAUCGACUGGAGCAACGUCAGGAACGUCAUGGACAUGCGAGCCGUGUAUGGCGGGUUCGCGGCGGCAUUGAAGGACAUGAAUGUGUGGGUGAUGAACGUGGUGCCAGUGGACUCGGCGGACACGCUGCCGAUCAUCUAUGAGCGAGGGCUGUUUGGCAUGUACCACGACUGGUGCGAGUCCUUCAGCACCUACCCUCGAUCAUACGACCUCCUCCACGCCGACCAUCUCUUCUCCAAGCUCAAGAAAAGGUGCAAGCUGUUGCCGGUGAUGGUCGAGGUGGACCGGAUCCUGCGGCCGGAGGGGAAGCUGAUCGUGCGGGACGGCCGCGACACGGCGGCGGAGGUGGAGAGCAUCCUGAGGUCGUUGCACUGGGAGGUGAGGAUGACGGUGUCCAAGCAGGGAGAGGUGAUGCUCUGCGCCGAGAAGACGAUGUGGCGGCCCAAGGAAGUCGAGAAGGCGGCGACGACGGCGAGCUAGUAGGGAAGAAGUUGAUGAUCAUGGCUAGUAGUGCUUAGCACCAGAAAAAGAGUUUUGGCAAAUAUUGUGGCACGUUGUAAUAAAAAAAUGAUGGUAGAUUUGAGUAGAAAUUAGACAUGUCAUAAUUGAGUUUUGUAUACAAGUUUUACAAAAGAGAGAUGGUUAAUUCA